GAUGAACGCUGGCGGCGUGCCUAAUACAUGCAAGUCGAGCGAACGGACGAGAAGCUUGCUUUUCUGAUGUUAGCGGCGGACGGGUGAGUAACACGUGGAUAACCUACCUAUAAGACUGGGAUAACUUCGGGAAACCGGAGCUAAUACCGGAUAAUAUUUUGAACCGCAUGGUUCAAAAGUGAAAGACGGUCUUGCUGUCACUUAUAGAUGGAUCCGCGCUGCAUUAGCUAGUUGGUAAGGUAACGGCUUACCAAGGCAACGAUGCAUAGCCGACCUGAGAGGGUGAUCGGCCACACUGGAACUGAGACACGGUCCAGACUCCUACGGGAGGCAGCAGUAGGGAAUCUUCCGCAAUGGGCGAAAGCCUGACGGAGCAACGCCGCGUGAGUGAUGAAGGUCUUCGGAUCGUAAAACUCUGUUAUUAGCGAAGAACAUAUGUGUAAGUAACUGUGCACAUCUUGACGGUACCUAAUCAGAAAGCCACGGCUAACUACGUG
rnacentral:rRNA from 1 species